UUUUUUCUUUUCAGUGUGUGUGUGUGUGUGUGUGUUUCGAUUGUGACCCAGGCAGAGAUUAACAUCUUCGUGAGAUUCGUAGCAUGCCAUUUGGUCUCCUGCAAAAAGCAAUAUAGUGGCCAAGACAGUCUACAGUUGGUCCUGGGCAGAAUGCUACAGCUCCUCUCAGGGUGAACAUGUCAUCUUGGAGCUUCAUGGUUAUUGGCAAGUCACAAAGUUUCUGCUUCCUGCAAUCAGUUAGAUUUGUUUGAGUUUGGUUGAUGCCAUGGUCCACAUCAACACAUAAGAGUUGUCCUGUCCUGAAUGAAUGCAUCACUGUGCCAUUGCAGAGAUUGCUGACUGACUGGUACUGUCUAGGAUAUAUUUCAGGGUUUGGAAUUCUGGCUUGGCAUUUCGUGUUGCUCAUGGUGAGUUGUUCGCACUUUUCAGCUCUGACAUUCCUUUAUUGAUCAACACCUCUUCACUUGCUGAUACAAAAGGGAUAUGUCUGGAAACUGCUUGACUUGAGCAAUAAAUGGUAGAACAGGAGCCAGUAGCGAUAAUGCUUGGGGCAGUCUUCAUGGUGUUUGCAAUUAUAUUUGAGAUGUGACACUGUGUAUCCAGCAUUUGAACACCUGACUCCAUUGCUGUCAUUGUAAACAUGUGCAUUAAGAUGUUUGUUCGCAGUAAAUAUGCUUUUCUGUCGACUCCUUUUUGAACAAUGUGCUGGACAAGUUCAAAAACCUCAGUGGACUUGCCAGCAUUGCCUACAAACUGGCUGAAGGUCUCGCUGUCACAGUAUGCACAGCAGAGUACCUGGCAGAAUUAAUCAAAUGCACAGAUGUAUCAGCAUGUAGCCAUUCAGAACAUGGUGCAAGGUAAGUGUGCUUUCUUUUCUUCGGUGGCACUCCAAGACCUCUCCAGUUUUCAGUUGAUGGAUAAUCCUCAUGUUCCAUCACUUUCUCUGACAUUGUACUAGUUGUGUCUCUGUGAGAGGACCCUGUGGCACAAUCUUCAGUUGCUUUGGAAAUUUUCAUGUUUCCUUCAAUUGAACCAAGGUGCCGAACAAUGAACCUGUCUAUCCGAACAGGUAAGUUUUCAUGUUUGAUAACAUUCUUUAGUCUGUUAAAUUCAGCUUCAACACAGCUUGUCCACAAAGGGAGGUAACUAGAUAUCCUUAAUACAUGAGGAAUUAUUUCUGGAAGAAAGUGCAGAUUGUCCCUGUCACCAUUGUCCACGAUCGUCAAUUUGGCUUUCUCAAUGAUAUUUGUAACCCAGUCUUUCAUGUCUGUCUGAGAUGGCUCUGUGAAAUUGUCCAUUUCUGUUUCUUGAAUUUCAUCAUCCUUCAUGUCAGGACAGAUGGCACUCACUUCUGCGAUUCUCGCCCUCAGAUAAAUUUUGCUCAUUUCUGCCAUUACAGGACGUCCUGUUUCAUUGUGCCCUUCAGUCUCACUCAGAGCCACAACUGUAAUUGAGUAAAUGAUUUGAUGUGCAUCAUCCAGCGUCCCUGCUUGUAAAAGCUUGGCCAUGC